rnacentral:misc_RNA from 1 species
AAGUCGUAACAAGGUUUCCGUAGGUGAACCUGCGGAAGGAUCAUUAUCUGACUAUAGGCCCGGACCUGUCCGGGCCCUAUUGUCCCUCCCGUGCUGUUUCCCGUCUCCUGUUGCCUUAGCGGGCGCCCCUGGCCCGCUAGUGUCCUAUAAUCUAUUAUGGUGCCUGUCUGACUGUGGAACAAUUAAACAAAACCUUUAGCAACGGAUCUCUUGGCUCUG